rfam:Punctularia strigosozonata HHB-11173 SS5 unplaced genomic scaffold PTNSTscaffold_10, whole genome shotgun sequence.
UUACCACUCUGGCCUUUUGGCUUAGAUCAAGUGUAGUAUCUGUUCUUAAUAGUUUAACCACUAUUAUGGAGGCAUCGCCUCCAUUAUUGGUUAUCUAAUUUUUGCCGCCCUUGUCCUUCGAGCUCUGCUUGCAUCUCGUUGGCGCGAUGUCCUUGGUAUUGCAGUACCGCCUUGUGACGUCGGGGGAUC